rnacentral:rRNA from 2 species
UACGGAGGGAGCUAGCGUUGUUCGGAAUUACUGGGCGUAAAGCGCACGUAGGCGGCUUUGUAAGUUAGAGGUGAAAGCCUGGGGCUCAACCCCAGAAUUGCCUUUGAUACUGCAUGGCUUGAAUCCAGGAGAGGUGAGUGGAAUUCCGAGUGUAGAGGUGAAAUUCGUAGAUAUUCGGAAGAACACCAGUGGCGAAGGCGGCUCACUGGACUGGUAUUGACGCUGAGGUGCGAAAGCGUGGGGAGCAAACAGG